AUUGAACGCUGGCGGCAGGCCUAACACAUGCAAGUCGAACGGUAACAGAAAGCAGCUUGCUGCUUUGCUGACGAGUGGCGGACGGGUGAGUAAUGUCUGGGAAACUGCCUGAUGGAGGGGGAUAACUACUGGAAACGGUAGCUAAUACCGCAUAACGUCGCAAGACCAAAGAGGGGGACCUUAGGGCCUCUUGCCAUCGGAUGUGCCCAGAUGGGAUUAGCUAGUAGGUGGGGUAAAGGCUCACCUAGGCGACGAUCCCUAGCUGGUCUGAGAGGAUGACCAGCCACACUGGAACUGAGACACGGUCCAGACUCCUACGGGAGGCAGCAGUGGGGAAUAUUGCACAAUGGGCGCAAGCCUGAUGCAGCCAUGCCGCGUGUAUGAAGAAGGCCUUCGGGUUGUAAAGUACUUUCAGCGGGGAGGAAGGGAGUAAAGUUAAUACCUUUGCUCAUUGACGUUACCCGCAGAAGAAGCACCGGCUAACUCCGUGCCAGCAGCCGCGGUAAUACGGAGGGUGCAAGCGUUAAUCGGAAUUACUGGGCGUAAAGCGCACGCAGGCGGUUUGUUAAGUCAGAUGUGAAAUCCCCGGGCUCAACCUGGGAACUGCAUCUGAUACUGGCAGGCUUGAGUCUCGUAGAGGGGGGUAGAAUUCCAGGUGUAGCGGUGAAAUGCGUAGAGAUCUGGAGG
rnacentral:rRNA from 1 species